rnacentral:misc_RNA from 1 species
AGUAGAGUGCAUGUUUGUCAGCAAUUUGAUCUCUCGUGAUGAAACCCAAGAAAUUCAAAAGAAAUGGACCGAUACUAUGAAUUCUCUUAAUCAGAAAAUCCAAGCCAUCAUCAGAAUUCCAUCUAUCAGAUUAAGGUUAUUUCGUAUUGGGAAGCAGCUGGAAUGGGAGAAGAUGGUCAUGGAUGGUUCAAUUCAAAACACUAGACGCCUCCACCUGGUGAGCACAACGCAUCUACGGCCUUGGCAGAUUGUUGAUGAAAUGAUUUCAGUGAUUUAUCGCUACUUUUACAGGAAAUACGUGCCUUCACCGUAUACCCAGAUCGAGAAUUGCAUGAAUGAGUUCUUCUCAAUGAUCCCAAAAGCGAACAAAUGUUAUUUAGAGGUAAUUCGGCUGUCCUUUCUUCCAGAACUGUUGGUCUCACUUUAUUUGUCCCCAUAUCAAGUGGACAAAGUCUUUGCUUUCGGAAUGAUUAUGCAUAUUCUGAAGUUGAGUAGAAUAGCAUUGGCGAAAGAUUGGCGUAACGAAUGUGCAUGUUUGGUGUUAGAGUUUUGUAAGUUGCUCAGAAGGGUGUCUCAUGAGGAUUCCCUGUAUCUCUCUUGCCGGAGUGCUCUUGGGUUGUUGCUGAAAAACAUGGAUAUUGCUAGUUGGUUGUUGUAUGGGGAGGAUACCAAGGAAGCCAGCUGUUUGAUGAAGGAGAUUUUCUCUUUUGUUGGUGAGCUGGGGAAUAGAUUGUGUGAAGAUUUGGCUUCCAGUACAGAAUCUCCCUGGAGUUCGGGGCCC